UUUAUGUUCUCUCCUUGAGCUUGAAGAAUUUGAGAAUCAAAUUUUUUGUCAUAUGGCUCACCCGACCUUUGAAGAUUAUAAUCCUAUCAUUGCAUGUUGUAGAGUGACGAGGAAAUUUUGAACAUCGGAUAAAGCUUAGCUCAAACCAACUCACUUUACCUUGUAAAGUUUUGCACAUUAUCAUUGCCCACGUUAUUCUCCUUAGGAAAGGUCAACUUGAUGAAGUUACUCAUUUCGACUUAUUCCCUCUUGACUCCUUAGUCGGACGAAAAUUAUUCUUCAAUUUCCAACAAUUAAGUAGGAUGCCAAAGGGUAAGACCUUAAUACGAGUGGAGGUAUGGAUGAUUUCAUGUGACCAAUCACAAUUGUUGGAAAUUGAAGAAUAAUGGUAUGUUUUGAUCUUAAAUGUUAUAUCUUUUUAUUUAUGACAAAAGGGGAAAAAUGAAUGAGAUGAUAUGCUGGAUAAAAUAUAAGAGUCGAUAUGCUUGAUGAUAUGCUUAAUACACAUGCUUUAAAGUGAGUGGCUAUUGGUUUGUAAAAU
rnacentral:lncRNA from 1 species